rnacentral:lncRNA from 1 species
CAACACCAGAUCCAAAACACAUCUCCGCAUCUGCAACCUACACCACAGCUCACGGCAACACCGGAUCCUUAACACACUGAGCGAAGCCAGGGAUUGAACCCUCAACCUCAUGGUUCCUAGUCGGAUUUGUUUCUGCUGCACCACAACGGGAACUCCCAGUCUCAGAUUUCUGUGAGUCACAGUAUUAGUUCUGAGGUUACCCUUGGUGGGAGAACUUUAAACAUAGAUUUUACCCUCACAGAAGAACAUGACUUUCAGCAUAUGUGAAAACAUUGCUAAAUAGUGUUAGAUGCCUGGCAAUUUAAUGGUAAAAUAAAAACUUCAGUGGAUGAAACAAAGGCUAAGAAAAGGCCACAUAAUUCCUUGUAUGUCUCCUUUUUUAGGGUAUAAAAUUAUGGGAACAUAUUUCAAAUGCAGCCAUUUUCUUUUCACACAGUUGCUUAAAUGUGUUAUUGGAUUCAGACCAAGGUGCAGGAGGCCACUAGAAUUUUCACAGAGUUAAAGGGUGACAAUAACUGAUCAACCACCUCAAAAAGAAAAUUCUCUUUGACAUAAAAACAGUAUACAAAGGGUAUAGGAGCACAGCUGGCAAGGAACACAAUCCAACCCAGAUACAAAAACAUUUUCCUAAAGCUUAUAAAUAAAAACUGUAUUAUAUGAGUACAUUCAACAAAACUAGAACUUGUAAUAAAUGUAUGACAUGUAGAAUUCUAAUAAAGCUUAGUUUAUUUAUCAUUUUCAGACUGAUAAAUGAAACUGAAUUAGGUUGUCCUUAGAUUCAAUUAUGUAUUUAAAACAUCUUGCAGAAAUUUCAAGAUGUUUAAUUCACUAUAAUACCAUAUUUUUUCUAAUCUAUAUGUAUUGAGAGUAAAUUAUAAUUACUAAUAUUUUAUAGACAUUCAUGCAAAACCAAAUAUAUAGAAAAUCUGGAUAUUUUAUAGAAAUAUUUUCACAUACAUUUAUAUAUGUGUUUAUCUACCCUACAGAAUGAGUGUAGAUAAAAAUGAGUAAUAGCUCUCCAUUUCUCAGUCUCUCCUUCUCUAUUUUUCCAAAAUAGGAUGAUCCCAUUUGGUUAAAUUUAGGUUAUAAUGCCUAAUAGUCUUUUCCAAAUAUUCAAUCAAAUCAAACAAAAAAAAAAACUAUAUGUUUCCAUAGUUGAAGCCUUAUAAAAUAGGUGUUAAUAUCAAUUCAGAGAUAUUUAAUCAUUAGUUCAAGUGAGAUGAUUCCUAAAUGUUUCUCUUGCCCUGCCCCCUUUCCUAAGGUCUUUAACCCACCAAGAUGCUAUAUCAUUGCUUCACUAAUCAUGCACAGCACUGAAUUUAUUUCUAAGUCCACCAGCAUCCUUCCUCUACUCCCUACACUUGUUGAUGGACCUAACAUGUUCCAAGUCACUCUAGCUCAGAAUCUUAAUGACCUGCCUUUUCACACCAUAAAAAAAAAUCAGUUAAUAAGUCUUGUAUCUCAGUGUUCCUUUCUGCUCAUUCUAAUGGAUCCUAUUUUAAAUCACUUUAGUUUUCCAGCCAAUGGAUCUUUCCCCUUCUCCAAAACCCUAUACAUUAACCCAGGUAAAUGUGCUCCAAAGAAAACUGUUAUGCUCACAUCUUAUUCCAUCUUUACUGAUUUCCUACAGUAAUAUUUGGGGAAUAAGCCCCACGUUAUUAUUUUUUUUUUAACAAAAACCGAACAGCAAAAUUUCCUGGAGCACAGGUCUUGUUUUGUUGAUACAAAUCUCUGUCUUUUCUCCUUCCUUAUAUUUCCUGAAAAUUUAGCUUGUUGGUAUUGUCUGAAAUUCCAACUUCUCCAUUAUGUCUUGGUUAGGGUUCGGGUUAGGGUGAAGGUUAACCCUAUAAAAUCUCAUUGCUCUCCCUUACUCUGUUCCUCCAUGUGGCCAACAUCAAAUUGUAAUUUUCCUUUACCUAUUCUGUACCUGCCCUUCCAAUUUAGAGAGUAUAACCUAUACAGUAGGUUGGGCAUAAGCACUGGUCCUUAUCUUUGUAUUUCUCAAAAUUCCAGAAAGAUUAUUUUAACUAGAGUACAACUUUGAUUAUUUUUUAAUAGGUGAAUGAUUGAAUGAUUGGUGAUUUUUCCAUUUCCCUAUUUCUACCUAUCGUUUUGAAUUUAAGUUAGCAAUUACAUAGAGAAAAGAGGUCACAAUGUUAUGAGUGAAGUACUAUCAAACAACAUUUGCAGAUGUGACUUUGUAAGCAUUCUACCAUUGGCUUUCAAAGUAAAACUACAUGGAGAGGAAAUCAUUUUCAUAAAUUUUAAAUUUGAAUAAGUUCUUCUUUGGGUUCCAUAGGAAAAUGUGGACAGAAGUGAUUAAAAUGACUUGAUCAUGACCUGCUUCAUUUUGUGCUGUUUGCAUAGCUGGCAAUUAGCAAGCAGAUACAUAAUGAACAGUUUCAAUGAAACUGUUACCAAAAUACCUGUUUCUAUAGAGGAAAAAUUGGUAGAGUGAAAAAACUCAUAAAAUCCAUUCCUUUGUAAGUAUAUUGCCUUCUUACAUAAACAUGGUCUUUAUACUCCUGUGUCCCCUCAACAUAUGUUUUCCAGUUUAUGCCCUGAAUAUAGUUUCUAUGUGCCUAAUGAUCUGUCUACAUAAUUUCAGAAGCAUAUAUAACACAACAAAUUGCAAUUUAUGGAUAUUUCUAGAAGAAUAGUAGAAUCCUCUCAAACUCUGUAGGUGUUUGCAGUAUAGGAAGUACAAAGGAAGUACAAAAAGUCCCUAUGCUUUGCUGCUUGUAAAUGCAGCUAUUAUAUGGGAACUGGUUGCUAAAAAAUGCCAAACUCAUAGCACGUUGGGGCAUCUUAAGAGUUAAUCUUCCUGGCGGUCUUUUAUCUGAAAUGCUCUUUGGAAAGAAAUACAACUCAGAGUUAGACAAGAUGCAUAGCCCUUACUUAAAUGCCACUGAUAUUUAAAUAUACCUGUAAGUGAAACUUCCUACUGUUCCCUUUAACACUUCAACAAGAGGCUAAUGAACUGCGGAGCACUUUAUGCUUCUCUUCUUCAUCCAGAUUCUGUGUUUAAUAGAAUGACCUCUUUAAAGUUAUAGGAACAACCCUCUUUAAGUUGAGGUCAGAAAAAUAUCUGUUUAGCUAUCUUACUUUAAACUGAAAAACAAUAACUGAAAUAAUUGGGUGCAGAAUGGCAGCUCCACAAUUAUUACAGAAGUGUUUUGACACGUGCAGCAUUAAUUGGGCUCUGGUUCUGUCUUAAAACUCAAGUCCAGGGGCUAAGCGUUGUAAGUCCUGAGAACUGACUACCAAAGUGACACGGUUGCUAAAGACAGUCGCCUGCUAGGCCUGGUUCCAAUGGGAAACGAUUUCCUCUGGCAGCUUUUGAAGUUUGUUUUUAUAGGAAAUUGCUUCUUGGAGCAUAUAAAGCUAAUUCAUGGCAGUUCCCAGAGCUCCCACACACCCAGCUGGGGCUCCCCUGUGGACGCUGCAUCUUGUUGACAUAAUCGGGCUUGGCUCUUGGCAAAGCUCCAGCUGUUUGUGUGGAGCCAGUCAGAUUAGGUCGAAAGCCACUAAAUCUUCCAAAGUGUCCCAGGGAAAGGAAUAUAAAAUGGUUAUGGUGAUGUGGCAAGACCCAGGGAACAAAAUGAAGUCGUGACAUUUGUAUUUGGAACUGUCAUUGUGAAUCAAUAACACAGAAUUUGCUAGCGAAUUCAGCAGAGGUCAUGGCACAAAAGUGAUGGAUUAUCUGCAGUUCUCUUCUUCCCACUGAAUCUGUGUAAUAUGCUGCGCUAAUUUUCCUUUGGGGGUUUGUUAACUGUGCUGUUUGAGAACGAAGCCUGUUCGACUAAACCCCAGGCCAUCACAACAAAUAUUUUUUUACAUUAGAAUGCCUAUGAGCAUUUGCAUAAUGGAUUUAAAGUAAAUGGACUUUAUUUCUUUUGCACAGGAAAUUGUAGAAGAUGGUCAUAUUUUAUAAAUUUGAAAGGGAGAGUUGCUCUUAAUUUGAUUAUCCUUCUCUCCCCAAUUCCUUUAAUAAUACUUAUUAAAGAAGAUUUUUUAAUGAUUAAAAAAAGAUAUUUACAUUAUAAAAAUCAAUGAGACAAAAAUAGCUUAAAUUUGACCCUGAAUAUCUAAUUUGAGAUAAAAGUAUAAAAUCAAAAGCAAUAUCAAUUUAAAAUAUAAGAGAACAAGCAUUUCUUUUUCCAGGUGUGAGAAAUACUCAGUUUUGCGCAUAAAAGUUAUGGUAAGUGAGUUGAAACAUCAGAAACAAAGGAAAUAGCAGCUACAUAUAGAAUAGAUAGGCAUGGGCAUGAGAGAACAUUUAUUCACAUGGGGAAACAAAGUUGAAAGAAACUGUAUUUGCCUGAUUUUGAUUUUGACCAGGAUAGUGAACAUUGAAGUUCCAAAAUGAAAAGCGAUGUUUCCUAUAUCCUUGCCACUUCUUUCUUGGCUCUAUAUUUCUUAGGAAUAAAAGAGAAUGUAAAUCUAAUAAGAUAUCUUCUCCCCAAUAGUGUAGUUAAAGUUUGAGAAGUAUCAGUAAUUUUUGAUAGGCAAAUUUUAAAAAUUGUCCUUUUUUAUAGUACAUUCUUUCCAUACUUAUUUAGUAUUGUCAUAUGAUGUUUUUUAAUGUUGCAUGCUAUUCCUUUUGUGUGGAAGUUCAUCCUGGUACUUAGUUCUGUCUGCCUACCAGACUUUUUCUUAUUCCUCCUUUUAUUAUGUCUUCACCUGAAUCCUACACUUAUAGGUAGAAAAGUUAACUCCAUCUCCAGUUGCACCUACAUCAGCACUUGUUUUACUAAAUGGUCAUUUUUUCCUUGUAUAUCUGUUUUAUCUAAGAAAAGGUGAGCUGUAUGGGGUUGGGAACCUCACUUUCCUCCCACUUUUUCUUCAUUCAUGUCUAAAUCAGGUUCUGGUCUUCAGUCGAUUUUGUGUAAAUGUUUUUGAAUGAACGCAUCAGUGUCCUGCCUUGUUUCUAGCUUUCUAUUCACUAUGAGUAGGAGGUAAAAGCAAGAUUCUGGGUCAGAGUGUCCUGUCCAGAUCCCUGAUGGACUAGCUAUGUAACCUUGGACAUGUCACUUUUCUGGGUCUCAAUACUUCACUUAAAAUAUUCUACUUCAUGUUGUUGGCCUGAUGGGUAACUGUGUUACAGUUUAAAAACUGCUUAUAAGAGCAUUUGGUAUCUAAAUCCCAAGUCAGUAC